rnacentral:misc_RNA from 1 species
UAUUACUUUGUGUCUCUUAGUCAACCUGAUCUGGUCCAUGUUCGUGGGGAGGGCAUCAUGGGCAUGUCCACACCCUGUCCACACCCUGUCCACCCCAUGUCCACUCCCCCCGCACUCGCCCAUGCUGUCGCACAGACCAAAGCAGGCACUCCCGCACCCACUCCCUCAUAUCGGGUGCACCAUACAGGUACACCUCCCACUAAUGAUCCUUCCGCAGGUUCACCUACGGAAA